rnacentral:rRNA from 1 species
GACGAACGCUGGCGGCGUGCCUAAUACAUGCAAGUAGAACGCUGAAGAGAGGAGCUUGCUCUUCUUGGAUGAGUUGCGAACGGGUGAGUAACGCGUAGGUAACCUGCCUUGUAGCGGGGGAUAACUAUUGGAAACGAUAGCUAAUACCGCAUAACAAUGGAUGACACAUGUCAUUUAUUUGAAAGGGGCAAUUGCUCCACUACAAGAUGGACCUGCGUUGUAUUAGCUAGUAGGUGAGGUAAUGGCUCACCUAGGCGACGAUGCAUAGCCGACCUGAGAGGGUAAUCGGCCACGCUGGGACUGAGACACGGCCCAGACUCCUACGGGAGACAGCAGUAGGGAAUCUUCGGCAAUGGGGGCAACGCUGACCGAGCAACGCCGCGUGAGUGAAGGAGGUUUUCGGGUCGUGAAGUUCUGUUGUAAGUCAAGAACGGGUGUGAGAGUGGAAAGUUCACACUGUGACAGUAGCUUACCAGAAAGCGACGGCUAACUACGUG